GACGAACGCUGGCGGCGUGCCUAACACAUGCAAGUCGAACGAUGAAGCCUUAGCUUGCUUUGGUGGAUUAGUGGCGAACGGGUGAGUAACACGUGAGCAACGUGCCCAGGACUCUGGAAUAACCGCGGGAAACCGUGGCUAAUACCGGAUAGGUGCCGAGGCCGCAUGGUCUUCGGUUGGAAAGUUUUUGCGGUUCUGGAUCGGCUCACGGCCUAUCAGCUUGUUGGUGGGGUAAUGGCCUACCAAGGCGACGACGGGUAGCCGGCCUGAGAGGGUGACCGGCCACACUGGGACUGAGACACGGCCCAGACUCCUACGGGAGGCAGCAGUGGGGAAUAUUGCACAAUGGGCGCAAGCCUGAUGCAGCAACGCCGCGUGGGGGAUGACGGCCUUCGGGUUGUAAACCUCUUUUAGUAGGGAAGAAGCGCAAGUGACGGUACCUGCAGAAAAAGCACCGGCUAACUACGUG
rnacentral:rRNA from 1 species